rnacentral:rRNA from 1 species
GAUCAUGGCUCAGGAUGAACGCUAGCUACAGGCUUAACACAUGCAAGUCUAGUGGCAGCAUGGUCUUAGCUUGCUAAGGCCGAUGGCGACCGGCGCACGGGUGAGUAACACGUAUCCAACCUGCCGUCUACUCUUGGACAGCCUUCUGAAAGGAAGAUUAAUACAAGAUGGCAUCAUGAGUCCGCAUGUUUACAUGAUUAAAGGUAUUCCGGUAGACGAUGGGG